rnacentral:tRNA from 1 species
GGAGAGGUGGGUGAGUGGCUGAAACCAGUUCCCUGCUAAGGAACCAUAUGGGUAACCGUAUCGCGGGUUCGAAUCCCGCCCUCUCCG